rnacentral:misc_RNA from 1 species
GAUGAAGAACGUAGCGAAAUGCGAUAAGUAAUGUGAAUUGCAGAAUUCAGUGAAUCAUCGAAUCUUUGAACGCACAUUGCGCCCGCCAGUACUCUGGCGGGCAUGCCUGUUCGAGCGUCAUUUCGGCCAUCGAGCCCCCGGGCUUGUGUUGGGGACCUGCGGCCGCCCGCAGGCCCUGAAAACCAGUGGCGGGCUCGCUAGUCACACCGAGCGUAGUAGCAUCUAUCUCGCUCAGGGCGUGCGGCGGGCGCCGGCCGUUAAAGGACGAUUGGGAACUUACCCCCCAAAGGUUGACCUCGGAUCAGGCAGGAAUACCCGCUGAACUUAAGCAUAUCAAUAAGCGGAGGA